GCUACGGUAGCUUAAUGGUUAGAGCGUCCGCCUCGGAUGCGGGAGGUCGUGGGUUCGAUUUCCGGUCGAGCCAUACCAACG